CCUACGGGAGGCAGCAGUGAGGAAUAUUGGUCAAUGGUCGGGAGACUGAACCAGCCAAGCCGCGUGAGGGAUGAAGGUACAGAGUAUCGUAAACCUCUUUUGUCAGGGAACAAAGGCGGGGACGUGUCCCCGGAUGAGUGUACCUGAAGAAAAAGCAUCGGCUAACUCCGUGCCAGCAGCCGCGGUAAUACGGAGGAUGCGAGCGUUAUCCGGAUUUAUUGGGUUUAAAGGGUGCGCAGGCGGUCUGUUAAGUCAGCGGUAAAAGCCCGGGGCUCAACCCCGGCCCGCCGUUGAAACUGGCAGUCUCGAGUUGGAGAGAAGUAUGCGGAAUGCGCGGUGUAGCGGUGAAAUGCAUAGAUAUCGCGCAGAACUCCGAUUGCGAAAGCAGCAUGCCGGCUCCACACUGACGCUGAGGCACGAAAGCGUGGGUAUCGAACAGGAUUAGAUACCCUAGUAGUC
rnacentral:rRNA from 1 species